rnacentral:rRNA from 1 species
AACGAACGCUGGCGGCAUGCCUAACACAUGCAAGUCGAACGAGACCUUCGGGUCUAGUGGCGCACGGGUGCGUAACGCGUGGGAACCUGCCCUUAGGUUCGGAAUAACUCCCCGAAAGGGGUGCUAAUACCGGAUAAUGUCUUCGGACCAAAGAUUUAUCGCCUUUGGAUGGGCCCGCGUUGGAUUAGCUAGUUGGUAGGGUAAAAGCCUACCAAGGCGACGAUCCAUAGCUGGUCUGAGAGGAUGAUCAGCCACACUGGGACUGAGACACGGCCCAGACUCGUACGGGAGGCAGCAGUGGGGAAUAUUGGACAAGGGGCGAAAGCCUGAUCCAGCAAUGCCGCGUGAGUGAUGAAGGCCUUAGGGUUGUAAAGCUCUUUUACACGGGAUGAGAAUGACAGUACCGGGAGAAUAAGCUCCGGCUAACUCCGUG